UUUUUUGAAGUAUAGUGGUAAGUAUUCCCACCUGUCAUGUGGGUGGCCUGGGUUCAAUCCCCGACAAUAGUG
rnacentral:tRNA from 1 species